rnacentral:lncRNA from 1 species
UGAUAUUUAUCCCUUGGUCUUGGAGAGCUCAAAAAGACAAGAAUUUCACUUCAUUUGGCAGAUCGUACAAUCAAGCUUCCUUUGGGAUUCAUAUAGGAUGCACGCUUGUCUCAAACCAUAGCAAGCUACUGGGGAGGUAAUGAUUUUCAAUUUUUUAUAUAUCAAUAUCAAAGGUGAUUAAAAUAUAUGGCACUAGAUUUUGAUAGGGCACUUUUGAAUGGACUCGGUAAUAGUAUUAGAU